GAAACAAGAGAGCAAGAUUACAGGGACAGGAAGUUUACCAGGGUGUGCCUUGUUUUGUUUUUGUUUGAGGUAGAGAAAAACUGAGAUGAUGGAUAUUGAUGAUCCACUUGAUUUUGAGAAAGAAGACCCAUUUCUUAUUAACCCUGUUGUUUCCAAGAAAAGGAAAAAGCUUAUUGGAUUAGAUGAUCUUUUGAGCGAACAUUACAAGGAGCAAAGCAAACUUAUUGAGAAGGAAGCCAAGAAACAGACAAAAGCUCAAAAAAGCUAUGAUUCUGAUGAGGAUAAAAAUGGCAAAGAAGCUAAGCUUUCAAGUCUUCUUGAUGAUUGCCAAGAACAGAUGAAAGCAAUGAGCGGUGAGGAAGAGUUGUCUGAGUGGGGCAUAUUCGUCUUUGGAGAGCAGAAGACUUCACCACUUUUAUCUUUUCCCGAGCUUGGAAGUUGGUCAAUUUUGAAGUCUUUCAUGAAUAAUAGGCUCAACUCUCUGGUGGGGCUUGCUACAGAACAAGAGUGCUCUUUCCUUGAAGGGUUAUUGAUAAAUGGGUGGCUCUUAAAAUUGAUCUUGAAAUGUGGUCGUGUAGAAAAAUCAAUAGCUGCAUGGACCUUUUCUUUGAUUCUGUAUUCAUCAAAAGAAGAGUUGAGGUCAUCUGCUUGUGAAUUCUGGUGUUCCAUUCUUUCAUCAAAAGUUCAGGUUGGUGUGCCACCCAUUGUAAUUGACUGGUUCCCCAGCUAUCGUGAACUAAAGAGUGCCCUUGAGAUAUACGGGUUUCGUUUCAAUUUUUCAUCCAACAUAUCUGUUAAAAACAAUUCUGUUUGUAAAGGGCCACCUCAAAACAUCAUAACCUGGAUCAAAUUUACAGCUGUAUGUUGUCAAGUAAGGUGUAAACAGUCUGUUUUUUUGGCAUCAGACUGUCAGGAGCUGGCAGAAGUCAUCAUUUGUCUAUUCUUAGACCGGCGAGUUCAAGGUCUCUCUGUUCUUAUGAGCAACUGUCUGCAAUCAGUUAUCAGUUCAUUUACAGAAGAAGAAUGGAUUAACUGUUAUUGUGAAAUAGCAAAAUCUCUUGCCUCAAGAGUUCCUAUGGACUUGAACUGCUUGCGAGCGGUGCAAUGCAUUUCAGGAGUCGAUCCUCGUUCCAAGCAUCUCAGAAGUGCUGUUGCCUUCCAAAUUCUGGUUAAUUGUUUUGAGAAUGAGGUUACUGAUGAAGAAGGAAUCCUGACUUCGCUUAUCUCAAUAAACGUGAAAGAAAAGGCCUGUGAUUUUUUCAAGAUGUACCUCUAUCUGGUUUUGACUGAAAAUUGGCUUCAAUAUGAUCCAAUGUUGAGAGAUAAGCCAGUGAUUCGUGAAAUGUGGGGUCUCUUUCUUCGAAACUGUUCUUGCCAAAUUACCAGCACAGACCUGAGGUUGCAUGCAUCAAAAGUUCGUAACAAAGCUGCAUUUCUUCUACAAGGCGCUGGCAACAAUUAAUCAAGUAUAAGUUCUAAUCCAUCCCCAAUAAAGAAUGUAGAGAUGUUAGAUACUGAAAGUAGCCAAAAGAAGUUAACCUGGCAUAAUUUGGGGUUUGUGGCAAGGCAGAUGGGCAAAGCUGCAAAAACAAAAGCAGGUGCAGUGUUUACAGAAUCAUGCAGAUUCAAAAGCAGGAGAUUUUGAACACGUUGACAUUUUCCAGAAUAUCCCAUUUCUACAUUCUGGGGUUAUUCAGGGAUCAAUCCCAUUCAGUGGAUCUAUGUAUAUAUAAGUUUAACAAUGACUGCAAGCCCUUCCUCUUUGUCACUUUGACUUGGGGGAUAUGGAGGAUGCUUGAGAUUAUGAGAUGUGUUAGGUAGUGCAAUAUAUAAGUAGGUAAAUGUUUUUAACCAAAUGUUCACUCCUUAAUUAUUGCUACUGUUAUUUUUUAUUCCAAGAUCUAGCACUUCCCUUCUCUUAAGGCAAGGGGGUAUGCAACUA